UACGAAGGGUGCAAACGUUGCUCGGAAUUAUUGGGCGUAAAGCGCACGUAGGCGGCUUAGCAAGUCGGAUGUGAAAUCCCUCGGCUCAACCAAGGAAGUGCAUCCGAAACUGCUGAGCUUGAGUACUUAAGAGGAUCGCGGAAUUCCCGGUGUAGAGGUGAAAUUCGUAGAUAUCUGGAGGAACACCGGUGGCGAAGGCGGCAUCCUGGACCAAUAUUGACGCUGAGGAGCGAAAGCUAGGGGAGCAAACGGG
rnacentral:rRNA from 1 species